rnacentral:sRNA from 1 species
AGCUCCCGCGGAGGAGGCUGCGGGCGGCGCGCCGGGAUAGGGACCCUGCUGCUCCAGGGAGUUGAACUUGUCAAAUUAAUGUCUACAGUGAUAUGUAUGAAACAAAGGGAAGAAGAAUUCUUGCUAACCAUCAGACCUUUUGCAAACAGGAUGCAGAAAUCCCCUUGCUAUAUUCCCAUUGUGAGCAGUGCCACCCUGUGGGAUAGAAGCACACCCAGUGCAAAGCACAUCCCUUGUUAUGAAAGAACUUCAGUACCCUGCUCCAGAUUCAUUAAUCACAUGAAGAAUUUCUCUGAAUCUCCUAAAUUUUGUAGUCUACACUUUCUGAAUUUUCCAGGAAGUCAUCAUGGACAGGCCACACAGAAAUUACAGGGAGCUAUGGUUCUUCACCUUGAAGAAUGUCACCACUCCUAGAAGCCCUUUCCUGCACUUCCUGGCUCCUCAGGUUUCCUGCUUCAUCCUGCACCUGCCUUCUUGAAAGAAAACAAGACAUCAGAUACUUAUUCAAAUAAUGGAAUAGCUGAUCAACUGGGUCUCCACACAAAAGAGAGUUAUCCAUGAUAAAAGAACAACUUUUUCAUGCAUUAUAUGUGACACAUGCAUGCUUUCUCUUAAGAUUUAUGAACCCAUGACUACUAGUAUUGUUAAUAUAAUCAAACCUUUUACAGCCUCACUCCAAAGCUUAAACUUAUUAUCAAUUGGCUUCUAGAGGGGAGUCAAUCAAUUUCAUAAGUGCUUAAACACCUGCACUCUCUUUGAAUCAGGGGGAAAAAUCAAUACCAAGUCCUCAUUUUCUCCAAGUAUAUAAUGCAACCAAAUCUUGCUUACAAGUUCAGGAGGAUUUGUGAUUCAACAGUCACACUUUAAA